GUGAUUUCCCAGCUUAUAUACUAAAAUUAGAAAGAUGUGGAGAAGAUUAUCAUGGUCUCGGGCAAGAAUGACAAGCAAAUUCAUGCAGCAUCCGAUAUUUUU
ensembl:snRNA U6 U6 spliceosomal RNA